CCUACGGGAGGCAGCAGUGGGGAAUCUUGCGCAAUGGGCGAAAGCCUGACGCAGCCAUGCCGCGUGAAUGAUGAAGGUCUUAGGAUUGUAAAAUUCUUUCACCGGGGACGGUAAUGACGGUACCCGGAGAAGAAGCCCCGGCUAACUUCGUGCCAGCAGCCGCGGUAAU
rnacentral:rRNA from 1 species